rnacentral:tRNA from 1 species
AAAGAAUUAGUUAAUAUAUAAUUUGGGUUUGUCAAACCUAAGUUGCCUGUAUGGCAUUCUUUU